CAAAAGCUCCGGUCCGGUAACCGCGCUCAUCUACGAUAACGCCGCGCUACUGGGCUGAUCAUCUUCUGUGGGUGGUCUCGGACGGGUCCAGAUUGGAUGAAGCUGAACUAUCUCUCAAUCUCAACAUGCGUGAUGCUACAGUAGCGCCACAGCUGACGUGUCAUCUCCACCAACUUCAUAGCAACCUGUAGCUGCUGCUGCUUCUUCUUCUUUUGAGAUUUUAUUGGCGGUUGACAGACAACGAACUGCUGUAUUACCGCCACCGUCUGGCAUGGAGUGUGGAUCGGAAUCUUUCCUCUCUCACAAAUUAGUUAUUUAAAGAUACUGAUAUUUAUUUUCUGAGUUAUUUUGUAGAUUACCUCCUAGCAUAAACUGCGUUUUUAUCUUUGCUAGAUUUUGUAUUAAAAUUCUUCUU